rnacentral:tRNA from 1 species
GCACGAGUGGCGGAAUUGGCAGACGCACCGGAUUUAGGUUCCGGCACCGCAAGGUGUGUGGGUUCGAGUCCCUCCUCGUGCA